AUGAUCAGCUCACCCUGUGCAGGGGCUCUCUGGGUGGGCAAUGAUGCUCAGUGUGGGGAGGGCUCAGCUGAGACCCCCCCACAACUCAGUGCAUGGGUUGAGGAUGGGAUUUUGGGGUCUCUUUUUGCUGGCCCACGGUCCCAGGGGGCCUCCUGGGGUGGAGGGGGCCAUGGCUGUGGGUUGGGGGCCCCAGGACCUGAGACCACCCUCGGUAUGUCCCUCAGAGCCUCCUGUGCUGUACCCCAACCUGGCCGAGCUGGAGAACUACAUGGGGCUGGCGCUCUCCAGCGAGGAGAUCCAGAAGAACCUGGGCACGGAGGACAGCACCGUAGGUGUCUGGGCUGGCAGCUCCCUGCCCCUUGUGGCUCCCCGUGCCUGAACGGGGCUCCCUUGGGUUCCUCACCCUGCCCGAGAAAGGCAUGCAGCCCUCCCAAAGGGGGGCUGAGGUGUCCCCCUGUCCCCGCUGACCCGCAGCUCCCCCCCGCAGGNUAUCCAGUUUAUUAUCGCAAUAAAAACGCUUUAUGCUGGCUUUUCUCAGCCCUGUGUCCUGAGGUUCUUCCCUCGCUCGUCUGUCGCUCAGCACAGCAGGGGCUGGGCUGGGCUCAGGGGAUGCUGUGUCAGGCUCAUGGGGUGCUUUGGGUGCUGUGCCAGAGUCACAGGGUGCAGUGUGCCAGGCUCACGGGGUGCUUUGGGUGCUGUGCCAGGAUUGCAGGGUGCAGUGCCAGGCUCACAGGGUGCUUUGGGUGCUGUGCCAGACUCAUGGGGGCUUUGGGUGCUGUGCCAGGCUCACAGGGUGCUUUGGGUGCUGUGCUGGGGUCACAGGGUGCUGUGCCAGGCUCACAGGGUGCUUUGGGUGCUGUGCCAGGGUCGCAGGGUGCAGUGCCAGGCUCAGGCAGUGCUGUGCCAGGGUUGUGUUGCUGUGCCUUGGUGUCAGGCUCAGGUGCUGGGGAGCACAAUAGGGUGCCUGGGGCUCCUGUGCUCUGUGGGGAGGUGAUGGUGGCCUGCUGGAAUUUACAUAAUUAA
rnacentral:lncRNA from 1 species